UACGCUCAAGCAUAUUUAGUUCGGGAAUUUUUAAUGUUUUACAAGUAUUUUUGCAUAUUUAUAAAACAUUACGUAGUUUAUUCUUACAAAAUGUGCUUUUGUCUUUGGUAAGGAACAUUCACGAUAUAAUUUUUGCAAAUCAAUUCAAUUACAUCUAUUAAACCUAACCUCUUUGACUAUUUUAGUUUUAUUUUCAGAAAAUUUUUGUGACCGCGCGCAAUGCGAUCAGUAGAGUCAGUGCUUCUUGUGCAAUAAAUUCUUAAAUAUUUUUCAGAGUGCAAUAGCUCAAUUAAAUUAUAUAAUUAUUAAUUAUAAUGAUAACACGCGAGAUUAAAGUUUUUGUUCGUCGAUUACAAAGUAAACCGAACGGACGAGCUUGUAGCCUUUUAUUUUUCUUUUCUUUCAUACAUAUCUUUUUUUGAUAUUCGUUUUCGGUAUUAGAGUCAGUGUUUUCUCAAGAGGAUAAAAUCUCUCUAGGAUACAAGAAUAUGUGGUUUCAUGAAAGAGAAACACUCUAACUGUGAAGAUCAGAAGCGUAAUCGGUGGUGGAGUCCACGCACGACGCAAAAAGGGAACUUUUUUGCCGCGGCAGAGAGAACGCCAACUCCGUUGCAAUUUCCAUUCCCAGCAAAUGAUCCGUGGCAAGAAAUCUCUGUUGAUCUCUCUGGAGCCGGCGGAUAAAGAAAUUAAAAAGUUUGCUCGUAAUCUGGGAAAGCAAGAAGAAUGGACGCAAGACGGAAGAAGGAGGGUUUCUACGUGGACCAAGGAGAAGUGGACAUGACCGAAGAUUGCCACACAGGAGGCUGCGUAGAUAAGGGCUGCAUGCAAAAGUGGAUCAUUACACGGGCAUAAAGGCGAGGCAGCCAGGGCUAGGGCAAUAAAUACUUCAAUCAGUGGCCUCUAAGGCGUCAGUUAGCAUCGCGGCGGUGCGUCGGAGACAGCAGCGCAGCGGCGGCUUCGCAAAGAGCCUGAAUCCUUCCACUUUGGUCCCAUUCGACUAAAGUAUGCCCGCCCUCUCUGACAGCCAGCUGCAGCCGUUCGCCAAACAGGCACCCCUUUGUCGUCGAUCUGCAUAACUCUCGCGCGUCAGGCCAAACGCCACUUUUGACGACGCGGAAACGCUCUAUUUUCAGUCAACUUUAGUUCUGGAGAACCAUUAAAACUUCUGGUUAUGGGGUUGGGUCUCCUAAGCCAGAUUCCUCGCUUUGUGCUUCUUUUGCAUUUUUGAAUUUCUCAAUUUUUUAGAAUUUAUUCUUUUUCUAAAUAUUAUAAUAAAUACUUUAUUUGAGAUA